GACGAACGCUGGCGGCGUGCUUAACACAUGCAAGUCGAACGCUGAAGCUCAGCUUUUGUUGGGUGGAUGAGUGGCGAACGGGUGAGUAACACGUGAGUAACCUGCCUCCUUCUUUGGGAUAACGCCCGGAAACGGGUGCUAAUACUGGAUAUUCACUGGUCUUCGCAUGGGGGUUGGUGGAAAGGGUUUUUCUGGUGGGGGGUGGGCUCGCGGCCUAUCAGCUUGUUGGUGGGGUGAUGGCCUACCAAGGCUUUGACGGGUAGCCGGCCUGAGAGGGUGACCGGUCACAUUGGGACUGAGAUACGGCCCAGACUCCUACGGGAGGCAGCAGUGGGGAAUAUUGCACAAUGGGCGCAAGCCUGAUGCAGCGACGCCGCGUGAGGGAUGGAGGCCUUCGGGUUGUGAACCUCUUUCGCUCAUGGUCAAGCCGCAACAAUGGUUGUGGUGAGGGUAGUGGGUAAAGAAGCGCCGGCUAACUACGUG
rnacentral:rRNA from 1 species